AUGGAGAAGUACAUUUUUCGUAAUUUGGUCCAGGGCCUUCGAGAGAGAUGCCAUCUAAGAGAUACAAAUUUUGUCUCGGUGGAGGAACAGGUAGGCAUAUUUCUAUAUGCUAUUUCCAAGAAUGCAACCAAUCGUACACUCCAAGGGCAAUUUCAGCACAGUGGUGAGACUAUAAGUCGCUACUUCAAUAUUGUGUUGAAUGCACUCAUGACAUUGUCUGGAAGUGUAGUACAAUUGCCUCCAGUCAACGUUCCUUUGAAAGUUGCAAGCAAUACAAAAUUUAUGCCGUAUUUCAAGGAUUGUAUUGGAGCAAUAGAGGGGACACAUAUUCCAAUUAGCAUAUCUCUGAAAGACCAAGAUCCAUAUCGUAACAGAAAAGGAACAUUGUCACAAAAUGUCAUGGUUGCAUGUGAUUUUGAUAAUCAUUUCGUCCAUAUUAGUAGCGGAUGGGAAGGUCCAGCUUCUGAUGCUCGAGUGCUACAAUAUGUUCUUCAAAAUAAUAUCUAUGUCCCUGAAGGAAAGUUUUAUUUGGUGGAUGCGGGUUAUGCGAAUACGCCUAACUUCAUCGUCCCUUAUCGCAAUGUAAGGUACCAUUUGGUGGAGCAAGCAAAAUGCAAUCAGCGCCCAACAAAACUCUCGAGAGCUAUUCAAUCUGAGGCAUGCACAACUUCGUAA
rnacentral:rRNA from 1 species